rnacentral:rRNA from 1 species
AUUGAACGCUGGCGGCAUGCUUUACACAUGCAAGUCGAACGGCAUCGCGGGAAAGCUUUCUUUCCUUGCGGCGAGUGGCGAACGGGUGAGUAACACAUCGCCACGUCCCGGCUUUUGGGGGAUAACCCGUCGAAAGACGGGCUAACACCGCAUACCCCCUUCUGAGGAAAGCAGGUGACCUUUUUUCCUUGCUCUAGUCUAGCCUCCCAUGUCCUCUUAGCUUGUUGGUGGGGUAAAGGCCCGCCAAGGCGACGAUCGGUCGCGGAUGUGAGAGGACGAUAAGCCACACGGGAAAUGAGACACGGCCAAGACUCCUAAGAGAGGCAGCAGUGGGGAAUCUUGGACAAUGGGGGGGAACAUGGUCCAGUAGUGGCGCGUGGGUGAAAGAGGCGUUGAGGUUGUAAAGCCCUUUUGGGAGGUAAGAAACGGGUUGGGCGAAGAACAAUGGUGGAUGACGGUACCGGGAGAAGAAGCACCGGCUAACUACGUG